GGCAAGUCAUCUCGGGCUAUA
rnacentral:miRNA from 1 species